GACGAACGCUGGCGGCGUGCUUAACACAUGCAAGUCGAACGAAGAGCGAUGGAAGCUUGCUUCUAUCAAUCUUAGUGGCGAACGGGUGAGUAACGCGUAAUCAACCUGCCCUUCAGAGGGGGACAACAGUUGGAAACGACUGCUAAUACCGCAUACGAUCUAAUCUCGGCAUCGAGGAUAGAUGAAAGGUGGCCUCUACAUGUAAGCUAUCACUGAAGGAGGGGAUUGCGUCUGAUUAGCUAGUUGGAGGGGUAACGGCCCACCAAGGCGAUGAUCAGUAGCCGGUCUGAGAGGAUGAAUGGCCACAUUGGGACUGAGACACGGCCCAGACUCCUACGGGAGGCAGCAGUGGGGAAUCUUCCGCAAUGGACGAAAGUCUGACGGAGCAACGCCGCGUGAGUGAUGACGGCCUUCGGGUUGUAAAGCUCUGUUAAUCGGGACGAAAGGCCUUCUUGCG
rnacentral:rRNA from 1 species